UGUUGAUGAUGAUGAUGAUGAAGGUACGCGCCGGAGUCUCUGACUGAGAGCAAGUUCAGCGUGGCGUCAGACGUCUGGAGUUUCGGAGUCGUUCUCUACGAACUCUUUACAUACAGUGACAAAAGCUGCAGUCCUCCAGCUGUGUUUAUGCAGCAGAUGGGGGAGGACAAGCAGGGCCAGAUGAUCGUUUAUCACCUGAUCGAGCUGCUGAAGCGCAGCUACCGUCUGCCGGCUCCUGACGGCUGUCCUGCCGAGGUUCACGCGCUGAUGAAGGAGUGCUGGGAGGCAGAGCCGGGCGAUCGGCCCUCGAUCAAAGAUCUCGCUCAGAGAGUCGAUGCCAUCCAGGACCGCAGGAGCGGCUGACGCCAACAUCAGUCUCCCGACGCGCUUAACACGGCCCAGCUGUCGUCCUCCAGGAAUAACGGAAAGGCUUUACAGGAAUUCUGGGAUGCCGUUUGUUCUUUCGCUUUAUCAGGGGGUUUCAAACGAGUUAAAAGCCAAAGAAGCAGAAAUAUGAUGUUGCCUUUAAUAGGGCCGUAUGAUUUCCACGGAAUCGCGGAAUCCAGUAAAAACAAAACAGAAUUUACCGUAUAACCAGGGUUGCCACCCGUCCCUUAAAAUCGUCCCGUAUUUAGAGGUAAACUGAUCAAAUCAAUACGGGACGCGAUUUGUCCCGUAUUUUACAAAGGCCAACACAAUACGUAUUUUGCACUGUUUAUAAUACUAAUAGCAAUUAUAAUGAAAUCAAUUUCAUAAGAAGUAUUCUAGAAGCUCAUUUGCACGUGAUUUUGGCGUUUUUCACACGAGCGCAGCAUGCGCUAAACCUGCGCGGUUUAAAACAUCUGGACCCCACAUCUGCCCUCUGAACACAAGACCCUCCAGAUGUAGAGCUGAACGGGAAAGUUAUCAGUGUGUCUGUCCGGUAACUACUGAUGAACGCGCGGCUUGCAGAGAAGCAUUCAGUUGCUCACGGUGGACUGUCUGACUUAAAGGGACAGUUCACCCAAAAAUGAAACUCUGUCAUCGUUUACACACCCACAAGC